UGCUGCUGCUGUUGUGGACA
rnacentral:miRNA from 1 species